rnacentral:piRNA from 1 species
UAACAAGGUGCACAGUGGAUAAGCACUGCU